CGAAUCACGCUGGCGGCGUGCCUCAGACAUGCAAGUCGAACGCGAAAGUUCCCUUCGGGGAGCAAGUAGAGUGGCGCACGGGUGAGUAACGCGUAGGUAAUCUACCUUCGGAUGGGGAAUAACAACCGGAAACGGUUGCUAAUACCGCAUAAUGCAGCGGCACCUAAUGGUGACAGUUGUUAAAGCGGGGGAUCGCAAGACCUCGCGUCUGAAGAGGAGCCUGCGGCAGAUUAGCUAGUUGGUAAGGUAACGGCUUACCAAGGCGAUGAUCUGUAGCCGGCCUGAGAGGGCGGUCGGCCACACUGACACUGACAUACGGGUCAGACUCCUACGGGAGGCAGCAGUCGGGAAUUUUGGGCAAUGGGCGAAAGCCUGACCCAGCAACGCCGCGUGAAGGAUGAAAUCCCUCGGGAUGUAAACUUCGCAAGAACAGGAAGAAUAAGUGAGAGUUAAUAUCUCUUACGAUGACGGUACUGUUUGUAAGCCCCGGCUAACUACGUGCCAGCAGCCGCGGUAAUACGUAGGGGGCGAGCGUUGUCCGGAAUUAUUGGGCGUAAAGAGCGCGCAGGCGGUUUGUUAAGUCUACCGUGAAAGCUUACGGCUCAACCGUAACGGGUCGGUGGAUACUGGCAGACUUGAGGGCAGGAGAGGAAAGUGGAAUUCCCAGUGUAGCGGUGAAAUGCGUAGAGAUUGGGAGGAACACCAGUGGCGAAGGCGACUUUCUGGACUGUUACUGACGCUGAGGCGCGAAAGCUGGGGGAGUGAACGGGAUUAGAUACCCCGGUAAUCCCAGCCGUAAACGAUGGGUACUAGGUGUAGGAGGUAUCGACCCCUUCUGUGCCGGAGUUAACGCAAUAAGUACCCCGCCUGGGGAGUACGGUCGCAAGACUGAAACUCAAAGGAAUUGACGGGGGCCCGCACAAGCGGUGGAGCAUGUGGUUUAAUUCGACGCAACGCGAAGAACCUUACCAGGGCUUGACAUCGUACGAAAGACUUAGAGAUAGGUUCCCCUCUUCGGAGGCGUAUAGACAGGUGGUGCAUGGCUGUCGUCAGCUCGUGUCGUGAGAUGUUGGGUUAAGUCCCGCAACGAGCGCAACCCCUAUUCUUUGUUGCCAGCAUUCAGUUGGGCACUCAAGGGAGACUGCCGCGGAUAACGCGGAGGAAGGCGGGGAUGACGUCAAGUCAUCAUGCCCCUUAUGUCCUGGGCUACACACGUGCUACAAUGGUCUGAACAGAGGGCGGCGAAGCCGCGAGGUGGAGCAAAUCCCUUAAAACAGAUCUCAGUUCGGAUUGCAGGCUGCAACUCGCCUGCAUGAAGUCGGAAUCGCUAGUAAUCGCUGGUCAGCAUACAGCGGUGAAUACGUUCCCGGGCCUGUACU
rnacentral:rRNA from 1 species